UUAAUGCCUAUGAAUAACCCCAAACCAUUUCAUGCUUCAGAAAAGCUUGAAGGAAUUGGAACUUUCUAUUUGAUAUUUAAACUUAAAUUCUGUUAAUUGCCUGGUAAGCUGUUCAACUGCAAAGGAAAAGAUUACCGGUGAAUAUAGAAAGGAAGCAUCUAAGCAGAAGUCUUUGGAUUAAAGCUGUGGUAUCUUGGACAAAUCUACCUGUUGGACACAUUCUUAAAGAAAUGGUCAGGAAAGGACUGUUAAUGUCCACUGACAGAGGGUGGAUCAACGCCAAGAUGAAGGGGCCAGAUUGAAGUGAACCCACCAGUUUUGCGUUCAGCUAAGAAAUUGAUACCAGGUGGCAACCCUGAAUGUGAGAGAAGACAUCGAGCUAUGUACCUGGGUGACACGAUUAGUGACUGGGGUAAACUGACUCAAGUUGCUUUAUCUUGAAGGACUGUGAGUUCAUUGAUGAAAGCAAAUGAGCCCGGUGUGAACAGUGUAUAGGACGGACUUGUCUUAUGGAUUGACUAUCAGAGGAUCAAUUUGGAGGGUUUGAGCCAGAUCCCAGCACUCUAGGAAGAGCCCUUAAAUUGGCUGCAAGGGGGCCAGUCCCCUAA
rnacentral:lncRNA from 1 species